UACGAAGGGGGCUAGCGUUGCUCGGAAUCACUGGGCGUAAAGGGUGCGUAGGCGGGUCUUUAAGUCAGGGGUGAAAUCCUGGAGCUCAACUCCAGAACUGCCUUUGGUACUGAAGAUCUUGAGUUCGGGAGAGGUGAGUGGAACUGCGAGUGUAGAGGUGAAAUUCGUAGAUAUUCGCAAGAACACCAGUGGCGAAGGCGGCUCACUGGCCCGAUACUGACGCUGAUGGCACGAAAGCGUGGGGAGCAAACAGG
rnacentral:rRNA from 1 species